UGAUAGAGGCGCGGUCAUCAUCAGUACCUUCGCAAAGCCGGCAGGAACCGGGGAAGGGAAAGGGAUCACCGCCGAAGGGUCUUGCAGUUUCCUGGCUGUUGGGUUCCUGGGCCGUCGGAGAACAUCCGGCGGACUGUCGCGUAAGCGGAGCGCUGUC
rnacentral:ncRNA from 1 species